UACGUAGGUGGCAAGCGUUGUCCGGAAUUAUUGGGCGUAAAGCGCGCGCAGGCGGUUCUUUAAGUCUGAUGUGAAAGCCCACGGCUCAACCGUGGAGGGUCAUUGGAAACUGGAGAACUUGAGUACAGAAGAGGAAAGCGGAAUUCCACGUGUAGCGGUGAAAUGCGUAGAGAUGUGGAGGAACACCAGUGGCGAAGGCGGCUUUCUGGUCUGUAACUGACGCUGAGGCGCGAAAGCGUGGGGAGCGAACAGG
rnacentral:rRNA from 1 species